rnacentral:tRNA from 1 species
GGGGGGUGUGGCGUCGCUAAGAGUCUUCUAAUCUCUUUUGUGGGCGGUUUAACUCCGUCUACCUCCU